rnacentral:lncRNA from 1 species
GAGAGUUUCAGCCUGGAGAGGACCACCCUGCUGGAAGGGUGUCCUGGGAAUGAAGUCCACGUAGGUGAGAACACACACCAGGGAUAUGUAGCUGGAUGGACUCAGCAGCCCUUGGGGAAUAAAGCCAGCUCAACUCAGCUGUACUUCUCACCACGUGGCAAAGGAUGGACCAAAGGCUGGGAGCAACUGGGAGUGUCUGGGACUGUGCCCCAAGGAAGCCACACAAACUGUGUAGCCAGACAGUCUGUCUGGGAGGAGAAGGAAGGAAUUUAUCUACCAGCUCCCAUCUCUCAUGGACCAAAUUCUUCCCCACUGUACAUAACUCCAUAUCACUUUCAGAUUGCAUAAGUUGUCUGCUGUUCUUUCGGGAGAGGGCUUGAAGGUUGAUUUUAGUUCCCUGUAACUGGAGGUGACAUGUGAAAGCUCAAAGCUAUUGAAAAGUUGCAAAGGCUUCCACACACAACUGCAGUAGGGAGGGCGCAGGAAGUGGGUCAACGCUUUUGGAGGACUGGGUGAAGUUCAGGAUCCUGAGGCCCUACUUUUUGGUCGCCCAGGGUGAGAGCUGAAUGUAGGCUCCAACAGGAAGACGGCAUUGAAGCCUGGUUGCUUGUUACUACUCAGAAUGCCAUCUACAAAAGGAAAUUAUGUAAAAAGCAAUAAAGAACCCCUUUUGUUCUUGCAGGAGUCAGUGUUUCAUAACUCUUUCUGUGAUAUCGUCUGUAUAAGUUGAACCUCUAAAGAACCUUAUCUAAGUUGCCACGACCUUACUCAUUACCCUCAAGAAAGAUGAACAAUUUAAAGGGGGAAAAAAGGAAGUGAAAAAAAUGGCGGAUACGAGGCAGAACUAACCUGCAGCUUCCACUCGAAGGGACAGAGCAGAGUGUGGAGACCCACAACUGGAACUUUUUCUCCAAGAACUACCACAGGAACAUACCAAGAAAGCCAAGAGAAUCCACAGAACCUUUGGAGGAAGUGGUUUGUCACUGCAGGCUCUGUGGGACAGCUGAGGAACUGCCAGCGUCCUCUUUCCUGUGUUGGUCACAUCCUCAAAUGCCUUUGGGGCUGGAUGAACAGUCGGCUUGUGGGUUUUCAUGGUGAUUUCAACUAAUAUGUGGAAGGGAAGGAGGGGAAGAGGAAAGACUCGGUGAUGGCUACAGCAGGCAAACCAUAUGCCACCGCAUGGGCCUGAGGACAAUCUCGGACGUCUUGCAAACAAUCACCCACACAAGUGUCCUGAUGAGUGGCGACCUUCUCAGCGAGGACUGACAACCACACGGGUUCCUACUUCAUGACCAGACCAGGGUCACCAUGGAGACAUUUCUCAUUGGAUCAGCUUAUUAUGCCAUAGGAAACAUCUGAUUGAAAUGGAACUCACUGACCUAAAGCUCCUAAAAAAAAAUUUUCUAGGUCAGUGACAGACAAGUUGGCUGCUUCAAAAAAGCCAUGUAAAUGAGCUGAAGUCUGCACAGGUGGAGCCCAUUAGAGUGAAUGAUUUCCCUCUCAUGUUGUUAUCUUCAUUUGCCGUUGUCUUAUCAACUCCAAGUAGGAAAUCCGCUGUCAUGAAAAGCAGGUGAGGGAACAAUGUCUGGCUGAAAAGUCUUGUUUCAUUAUUUUUUAAUUCGUACAGUCCUACCUGCUUAAUGCAGUUUUCUGAUUAGCAUGCUAGGCAUACAGUAAUGCAGUUUUAUUCAAAUAAGGAGGAAGGGCUUUAAUUUAAACUAAGAAAUCAUCUCCAUUUCUUAUCAGGGAACAAGGAUUCGUGAUUCAAUAAUACAUGAAUUUAAUAAUGCAUAAUGGUAGACUUCACAGGUACUAAAUAGCAAUACCAGAGUGGGUUAGUAUGCUCCAUGGGUUGCCAUCUGAAACUCCCAAUCUGGUUUAUCCACAUCCCCUCCCUUCAUCUCUUUCUUUAUUUCCUUUCAGCAAAAGAGUUGUGCUGUUUGCCUUAUUCCUCUGACGCUGCCAAGAGCCCAACUCACAGGCUGCAUCUUCACUUUACGACCGUGUUUAAUAGCUGUUAAGCUGCUGGACUUUAGCCUUUGCAAGAAUUCCCAAAUUGGACCCAAGGGAGAUUUGAAAGGAUUGGGAGGGAGAGAAUGGGGAAAGAAAAGUACGGAACUUCAUUCCCUACUACUAAUUGCUUUUUCCACUGAGGUAUCUAUCCAUGGCCUCAUUUUAGUGAGGGAAAACAGUGUAUAACGUAUUUGCAAUAUCCAGGGCCAUAUAAUCUCUUUAUAACUCUAUUUGGGUUUCACAGCUCCCAGAUACCUAAGCCUGGCAUUCCAAUGAUAGCUGGAGUCAGCAUUCCUUCAUUUUAUGGUUUGCAUGGUUCCCUUUGCCCUGGGUUGCCCAGUGAAUGGCUUGCCAUUCUGCCUGAUGUUGAAAUUCAAAUGUGCAAAGAAUUACAGGGGACCCAACUGAAUGACCUGAGUGGCUUGACCAACAGCAAAGCCAAGGGAAUCAGACAUACCUUGCUUUUCAUCAUCCCUUUAUUUGUUUUUCAUUUUAUUCAAUUUGGAAAAUUAGAUAAAGCUGGCCCACUUCGUUUUCUACUUCUUUCAUCUGAACACAAUGAGUUAAGAUUUUUUUAAAAAAGAAUUUGGAGAAUUUUAUUUAGGGGAAAAUUAAAAUGCACAUGUGGAAUCUUGUUGGCACAAGUACAUGAGCACAAAAUGUGCUAAGUUUCCAAGAAUAA